rnacentral:tRNA from 6 species
GCGGAAGUAGUUCAGUGGUAGAACAUCACCUUGCCAAGGUGGGGGUCGCGGGUUCGAGUCCCGUCUUCCGCU